UGUGGUUUUUGUCGUCAACCAAAUUCAAACAAGCCACUGGGCGGGCUGUGCUUGCUCAGGCAGCACCCAUGGGCAGCACAUAUGACAAACUGGGCUGGCAUUCUCAAUCAGUGACUAAUGACUAAUUGAGGAAGUUCAAACAGU